rnacentral:rRNA from 1 species
UACAGAGGUCUCAAGCGUUGUUCGGAUUCAUUGGGCGUAAAGGGUGCGUAGGCGGCGCGGUAAGUCGGGUGUGAAAUCUCGGAGCUUAACUCCGAAACUGCAUUCGAUACUGCCGUGCUUGAGGACUGGAGAGGAGACUGGAAUUUACGGUGUAGCAGUGAAAUGCGUAGAUAUCGUAAGGAAGACCAGUGGCGAAGGCGGGUCUCUGGACAGUUCCUGACACUGAGGAGCGAAAGGCGUGGGGAGCGAACAGG